rnacentral:lncRNA from 1 species
GUCUUACUAAUAUACAGCUGUUUUUUUGACAGGUCCUAUUUAACUGGAGUUAGAAGCAUGAUAGUAGAUGUCAUGCUGAACAAAAUUGAAUAUUGAACCAUUAUAUGGUUCUCUUCAAGGGAAAAAUUGAACAAACAGAAGAGAUCCAUCAUGAAGAAAUGUUAGCUGUGUAUGAUGAGGAAUUUUCAUCAUAUAAGAAUGAAAUGAUAGGGAAAUGGAAAUUCAGAUGUAGUCAUAUCAGCCUACUGGAUAACUUUAGAAGGCCAUCUAGCAAGAUCAUGUUAUCUGUAUCUUGGGAUAGUAAAGAUGUCAUAUUAAUAGAUUACAAAAAGUGUUUAGAAUAAUGAACAUAUUACAGGAACUUGAUACAAA